rnacentral:miRNA from 14 species
CAGAAUGCCCAGUUAAAUUUGAAUUUCAGAUAAACAAUAAUUUUUUAAUGUAAGUAUGUUGCAUGCAAUAUUUCGGACAUACUUAUGCCAAAAAUUAUCUCUUGUUUAAAAUUCAGAUUUAACUGGGAGUCCUGU